rnacentral:pre_miRNA from 1 species
AUAAUACUCCCUCCGUCCGAAAAUACUUGUCAUCAAAAUGGAUAAAAAGAGAUGUAUCUAGAACUAAAAUACGUCUAGAUACAUCCCCUUUUAUCCAUUUUGAUGACAGGUAUUUCCGGACGGAGGGAGUAGAUG